rnacentral:lncRNA from 1 species
CGGUGAUGAAACAUAAAUCAAAACUCUCAAUCUUUAAUCACUCUAAACUUGUAUUGGUGAAUGCUGUCAAGUCAAACAAAUAAUAAGACAAAUAUACCACAUAGAUUGUGCCUUUUUUUAAAAAAAAAUAGAUUCAAUGUUAAUCAUAAAAAUAGGCAGAUAAACUGCAAUAUAUGAUAAAAGUAAGUUUCUAAGCUCGCACAAAAUGGAAACUGCGACCAAAAUAUAUAUCCUCUU